CCCCCCCCCAAGUCCCUAUGGGUCACACAGCCCUCAGGAAUAUUUUCAAUUGGGACAGAAGGCUUCCAAGGGAAGGUGAAGUAAUUGAAAUCUCCCUCCCCCUGUGAACACCACAUUAUGAGAAACCACAGCAGCAGUUUUAGGACAGCUGGCAGCAGCAGCAGGGGGAAAAAGUUAAGUGUCUCAGUGUCUUGCGGAGCAGUCCUGUGAAAAGGGAAGACAAGGAUGAGAGCACCGUGGGAAUUGCAGCUUUUGUAGACAGCUCUGAAAUGAGGAAGAUGGCAGAAAACCAGCUUCAGUGCCGGCGCCAGAUUGUCAGGAUAUCAUGUAAGAAUGCAAGACAGCCUGCCUGCGGUUCCCAGAUAGUCUCUCAUCCAGGCACUGAACACACAGAGACCUGCUCAGCUUCAGCAAGGCCAGUAAAAAGAGGAAAAUAACUGAACAAGUUUACAGGCAGUUACUUCAGUGCAUAAUGGAAGUCAUAAUCAGCAAGGAUUCUGCUUGGCGGGCGCUCCGAAGCAUUGUGGUGCUAAACAGCAUUUAAAGUCAACCGAGGCUGGUCGGCUGCCUGGAAUGUAAUCCACUAAGCACUGGUACUCUGCAACCUCCAUUCAUCCCUAAGUAAAUUGUUUGCCUGCAUCCUUAUAAAUGUUUUCCCCCAACCUUACAACUAUGGAUGCCCUUGAAUUUACUUUAAAAGGUUGGUGCGGGGCAGGUGCUGUUUCACCGAUAUAAGCUGUGCUGCAUAAUAUCUCUCAUUAGGAUAUGGAGGAGAUGGAGGAAUCACCCAAACGGAUUACAGUGUGAUAGGUCUGUUCUGUGCAAUGUUAUCAGUACAUCUUGUAAUAUUGCUUGGGGGUACCAAAUAACAUUGAAGUCCUGUAAGCAGAUCCGCAUUUAAACUCAAUCCUAUUCCAUCUUCGUUGGUCAAGUAUUCACAGUGCUGUUGUUGAUCUGUAAAGCCCUUAGCAAUCCAGGUCUAGGAAACUUGAAGAACCACUUAUUUUACUGUUAAAAAAAAAAUGCUUGGGUGUUAAAAUCAGCAUGGAGGCACUUCUGUUGAGCCCCAUCAUCGUCGGAGAUAUGGCAAGGUGCACAGGCGUAGUUAUAAUUGAGCAGGGGUGUGUGUGGGGAGGGGGGGAGACACAAAUGACCCUGGGCCCCUAAGGGAGGCAAGGCCCACCAGCUGAGUGACAGCCUCCUUUUCAUUCUCCCCCUUGUGCCUCUCUAAAGAAGGUGGGGGGUGUGAAUGUUGGGGGAAAGGGCCCAUUUUCACUCUUUGUCCCAUGGUCCAUUCCAUUCCAACCAUGCAAUGCCCCUGAGCCCUGACAAGCUCUCACGAAGGACAGGGCCUUCUCUGCGGCGGCCCCUAGGAGAAGCUUUCCCUUCUUCAUGAAAGCUGGCAGGUUCCUCCUCCUUUGUUUUCAUUCCGAUGUCCAGCUAAACCAUACCAAUAGUGUUUUCUGUGCUUUAUUUUAUAGCCUAUUGUGAUGUAUUAUUUCAGUGUACUUUGAUGGAUUGCUUGAACUGGGUUAGCUGCUUUGAAUGUAACCUACAGAAAGGUGAGAUAUAUAAAUAUAGUGAAAUAAAUCAAUAAAAGGCAAAGUGGUUGCAUGCCAA